rnacentral:rRNA from 1 species
GUUGAACGCUGGCGGCAGGCCUAACACAUGCAAGUCGAGCGGAUGAAGGGAGCUUGCUCCUGGAUUCAGCUGCGGACGGGUGGGUAAUGCCUAGGAAUCUGCCUGGUAGUGGGGGAUAACGUCCCGAAACGGGCGCUAAUACCGCAUACGUCCUGAGAGAGAAAGUGGGGGAUCUUCGGACCUCACGCUAUCAGAUGAGCCUAGGUCGGAUUAGCUAGUUGGUGGGGUAAAGGCCUACCAAGGCGACGAUCCGUAGCUGGUCUGAGAGGAUGAUCAGUCACACUGGAACUGAGACACGGUCCAGACUCCUACGGGAGGCAGCAGUGGGGAAUAUUGGGCAAUGGGCGAAAGCCUGAUGCAGCCAUGCCGCGUGUGUGAAGAAGGUCUUCGGAUUGUAAAGCACUUUUAGUUGGGAGGAAGGGCAGUAAGUUAAUACCUUGCUGUUUUGACGUUACCAAAAGAAUAAGCACCGGCUAACUACGUG